UAGCUUGCUAUUCAGAUGGCGACCGGCGCACGGGUGAGUAACGCGUAUCCGAACCUUCCUGCCAGUAGGGAACAGCCCGGCGAAAGUCGGAUUAAUGCCCUAUGUUCUUCAAUGCGGACAUCUAAGUUGAAGGAAAGAUUCAUCGCUGGCAGAUGGGGAUGCGUCCGAUUAGCUUGCCGGCGGGGUAACGGCCCACCGGGGCGACGAUCGGUAGGGGUUCUGAGAGGAAGGUCCCCCACACUGGUACUGAGACACGGACCAGACUCCUACGGGAGGCAGCAGUGAGGAAUAUUGGUCAAUGGGCGUAAGCCUGAACCAGCCAAGUAGCGUGCAAGGAUGACGGCCCUACGGGUUGUAAACUGCUUUUAUGCGGGGAUAAAGUGCGGCACGUGUGCCGCUUUGCAGGUACCGCAUGAAUAAGGACCGGCUAAUUCCGUGCCAGCCGCCGC
rnacentral:rRNA from 1 species